rnacentral:rRNA from 1 species
UUCCUACGGGUGGCUGCAGUAGGGAAUCUUGCGCAAUGGGCGAAAGCCUGACGCAGCCAUGCCGCGUGAAUGAUGAAGGUCUUAGGAUUGUAAAAUUCUUUCACCGGGGACGAUAAUGACGGUACCCGGAGAAGAAGCUCCGGCUAACUUCGUGCCAGCAGCCGCGGUAAUACGAAGGGGGCUAGCGUUGCUCGGAAUUACUGGGCGUAAAGGGCGCGUAGGCGGACAGUUUAGUCAGAGGUGAAAGCCAAGGGCUCAACCUUGGAAUUGCCUUUGAUACUGGCUGUCUUGAGUACGGGAGAGGUGAGGGGAACUCCGAGUGUAGAGGUGAAAUUCGUAGAUAUUCGGAAGAACACCAGUGGCGAAGGCGACUCACUGGCCCGUUACUGACGCUGAGGCGCGAAAGCGUGGGGAGCAAACAGGAUUAGAUACCCGAGUAGUC